GAGCCUGUCGGCGGCGAUCACCUGCCUCAGGGGUGUUCAGCAGCAGCAGUAUUAUCUUACAGUUACUAUUGAGAAUCUAUUAAUACUAUAGAAACCUGCCGUCAUUUUACUGGACUCUGUUUCUGAGGACUCCGCUUGUUUUGAAUAAAAAAAACAAACGAUGUCAUAAAAUGAUGUUAUCCUGUAAACGAAUUAACAUUUUACACCUGAUAAUGAGAAGUCUUUUUUUUUUAGCCUUCCCAGCAGCAAGUGCAGUAAACUGGCCACCUCUAUGUGUGCGUUAAUGCACCAUAGGGUGCAUUCAGUUCAGGACCUACAAUAACGGGUGCCUGGCACACGCGCGCUGCAGGAUAAAGCCUGAGACUGCAGUGGGAAUCCGCAGCGGCCACAGCCUUGUCUGAGGGCUUGGCAGAUGAGCCGCUCUAUUUCCCGGUGGUGGGGAGGGGUGUUGCUGCUGUCCUCCUCCCAGAGGCAGGGCCGUCUGAGUCGCAGUACGGGUACUUGCUUAACGUUGUCCUGGUUAACGUUUUGUUGUUAUGUCUCUGAUCAAUUAGAGAACGUACUCGUUUAAAGUCGCGCAAUGUUCGGUUAUAACUUCGGCUGCCGCCUGGUAGUAGGUAACUGCUGUGGUGUAAUUGGAUUUGCUUAAAGUCACAUUUUUCAAGGACAUAACUAUGAUGUUAAGCGAGGAGUAGCUGUAAUUAGCAAGCGAGAAGCGGAUCAUGAGGGACAGUUCCAAGAAAGCUGAGACACGGAGACCGGGGGUGGCACCCAGUCCUAGUCAACCACUCCUAGGGAAGUACAAAGGUCGCAGGCCGUGACUCAAUUUCUUCUCCCUACUGAAGUGACCAAAAGCUCCUUGUGUCAAAGGAGUGAAGGGGAACGCACCCCAAGUUUGUCCUGAGCUCUAUAACCACUCCCCCCACACAAAGGCAGAGGUAUGAGAGUCCAGAACUUGCCUCAAACCAUGAGGACAUCUGAGGGCCCUGAGACCUCCCCACCAGGGCCGGACACAGGCAUGGGUGAACCGGGCAGCCACCCAGGACACAUCAGAAAGGGGGCCUGAAAAUGGCAUUUUAUUUACCCAUUUAAGAAUGCAAGACAACUAGGACGAAUUAUUGUCCAACUCCUGAAGACAUUACUCCAUCACUGAUGAGUCAAACAAACAGGAGCUUUGCCUGUCAGGUUUCUCACCAUUGCAGUUACUACGAGUGAAGCAUCACCUCCUCUUUGUUCAGUAGCUGCAUUUUCAAAGGAAUUAAUUAGGUGCUUCAGAAGGAUAAGCUGAACAGGAAGCUGCAUACCUCAAGAAAAUGACAGGGUGUAUCUGAAAUAUCCUUCUCUUCUCCUGAACUGAAGUACCUGAAGAAGAACUGCAAGAAGGUGGCUUAGUUCAUUUGAAAUAAUUUUGAAAUGUUCUCCUGAGGGUUGGUACUUUUUGAAAGAAUUUAGCAAGCUGGAUUAAACCCACAGCCUUCCCCUUCCCAGAUCUAGUACAUGCAGCACCUGCUACAUUCAGUCCAGGACCCAGCAGGAAAACAUCAAGCAUCCCUGGUGCUUGGCUGCCACCAUGUAAACAAGCAUGGUGCUUGAUAGACCUGUGUGAAUAGGCAAAACUACUUGAUUCGGAUUUGGAUUCAGCUGAUUUGAAUUCAGCUGAUUCGAUUUGGAAAAGAUUUGGAAAAGAUUCAGCAAUUCGGAGAUUUGGCCAUAGGGUAUA